rnacentral:rRNA from 1 species
ACUUAUAGGUGUGGGUGUGUGUACCGUACCUAAUAUAGAGGUCGAGUCGACGAGGGUGGCGGGCCCCAGUUACAGCGAAGGCUAGACGUUUGAGACGAGGAGGAGGCGCAUCGUCGUCUGUUCCCUGCUCUCCCCCCUCUGCGGAGAAAGAGAAGCGGCCGGUUUAGCUCGAUCGAUCGGUCCGCCGCCUCUCUACUCGCUCCGCCUCCGCCUCCGCCGCAGCUGCGCCGCGGCCUGCGACCACGACCACUUGGACUGCAGCUACGACCUCUUCCGCCUGCUCCACGACGACGGCCGCCACAUGGCCCUCCACCCGCGGCGCGACCGGCAGAGGGGGUGCCGCGAGCCGAGGGAGUGGGAGACGGCGCGCGAGCAGGUCCGGGAGAGGAAGGGCGAGCGGCGGAUGCGGAGGCGCGCGGUGCUGGCGCGGUUUCAGCAGCGGCAGCCGCGGAAGGAGACCCGGCGGCGGUGGAAGGAGCAGCGGUAGAGGGCGUGGAUGGAGGUCUACCGGUAGAGCGCCCCCGACUUGCCGUAGCCGGAGCGCGACCAGUAAGGCCGGUAGUUGAGCGACCAGCGGCUGAUGUGCCUGCUGGUGUGGUCCCCGCGGCGCAAGCCGACCGACGUCUACUGGACGUUGGAGCCGAGGUAGCACCCCCCGAGGAAGCCGCACGAGGAGCGCGGCAAGUGGAAGGAGCCGCAGGGGCCGACCGCCGAGCGCAAGGUGUAGCACCCGUAGUAGUCGCAGCGCGACCCGGACGAGUACACCGACGAGCGGCGGCUGGGCGUGAGGUUCAGGUUCUCGCGCCGCAGCCGCUCCCUCCUCCGGGCCCUCGACGAGGCCCUGCGGUCCCGGCAGUAGCGCCACGGGUGCAAGGUCCAGUAGCAGCGCGUCCCCCAGCGGCCGGAGUAGCGGACCAGCCCCGAGUUGAAGCGGUGGUACACCGACCUCGAGUACCCCAAGUGCGUGACCCUCUGGUCGUAGUAGUGCCCCGAGAUGGAGAAGCGGUGGCGGGAGCCGCGCGAGAAGCCCCCGCAGCAGCCGCUGCGGCAGAGCGCCGCCAAGGGGCUGCGGCCCUCCUAGCGCGACCGCGUCUAGUCGAGGCGCAGCCGCGAGGGCGAGCCGCGGCAGGACGACGAGCCGGACGGGUUGCUGGGCAGGUGGCCGCACCGCGUGCGCCGGCACAAGAAGCAGUACCCGAAGCGGUAAAGGACCUUGCGGCGCAGGUGUUUGUUGGGGUAGAAGCGCCUCUAGCACGGCCGCUUCCGCUCCUGCUGCCACAUGCGCGACCUGUUUACGAAGCUCAGCCACAAGCGGAGCAAGCGCGGCGGCCACCACCCGUAAGACCGCCUCGCGCACAAGCCCAUGUUCGGCCAAAGGAGGCUCAGCUCGCACCUGUACCUGUCUCCCUCGCGCCGACGCAACCGGUUCCGCUACAUGCACCUCGACCGCCACGGGUACCGGUAGACGAGAAACUGGAUACCGGAGAACAUGACGUGAAUGGGGGCCCUGUCUCUGUGGCACUUAGAGUACCGUUGUCUCCUUCUGCUGCCGUGACUUAGUUCACGCCAAGCACGGGUGGUUCUGCUUCUUAGGAGAGGACGGCCAAGGAAUUGGGUCUCCGACUAUGGGUGCUGGUGCUGUCUGAUCGUCAGAUGUCCAAAACGUAAAAGUUUAGCCACAGCCCAAGCUUUUCCUGGUAACUUGUUGAGACGUACUGACCUUGAGAAUAAGAGCAAGUAAAUAAAUAUGGUUUCUAUCUUCAUUAAGUCAGUGCACUACGUGGACAGGAGGAGUUUUAAGUAGACCCAACACUCAAGACAUUAGGAAAGGUCUUGCAAUGUGGUAUUUAGCCGAAGUCUAGCUUGGCGACGUCCCAAUACUUAGAAUAACACUGGACGUGGUCGAAGCUACAAAUUCCGGACUACAACCGGGUCGAGGUUCUCCGCCAGACCCUCGUCGAGUGUCACUCUGUACGUUCGGUUCUACUAGAGCCGCACUCUAGCCAAUCCGUGUACAUUUGAGAUCGAGAGCAGGGGAUAUAUCGUUCGGAUCCCCAUCAUAAGUGAUCUCGUAUGAGAGCCAUCGUACCCGCCUAGGGUCCUAAAAUUCUCACACAUAAGUUUUAGAAUUCUCGAAUAUUAAAAAAGUGUCGGAGAACAAAAAGCGUACAUAUUUACUUAUAUUGUGGUAAAAUAUGCUUAACAUAUUAUAUAUUUCUCACUUCACGUAAG